GGUUCUGAUCAUACCACCCUGAACAUGCCUGAUCUAAUCUGAACUCAGGAGCUAAGCAGGGGCAGGCCCGAGUAGGACAUGGAUGGGAGAUUGCCUUUGAAUCUGGAGUGCUGCAAGCU
rfam:Pongo abelii chromosome 13.